UACGUAGGGUGCGAGCGUUGCACGGAUUUAUUGGGCGUAAAGGGCGCGUAGGCGGUCACGCACGCCCGUUGUGAAAUCGCUCGGCUCAACUGGGCGGGGUCAGCGGAUACGGCGUGGCUGGAGCAAGCUAGGGGGCAAUGGAAUUCCCGGUGUAGUGGUGGAAUGCGUAGAUAUCGGGAGGAACACCAGUGGCGAAGGCGGUUGCCUGGAGCUUUGCUGACGCUGAUGCGCGAAAGCGUGGGGAGCGAUCCGG
rnacentral:rRNA from 1 species